rnacentral:lncRNA from 1 species
CACUUUCAAAAAUUUCAAACUUCUCUCCAACUCAAAUUCUUCUAUCUUGUUGUUGCUCAGACGAAAGCUUCCAUGGCUUCAGUAUUGCAUCUGUCGCUGCUGCUUCUUGGCUCUUUGACGGUUGCCUCUGCUGGUAACUUCCACCAAGAUUUUGAUAUCACUUGGGGAGACGGGCGUGCUAAUAUACUCAACAAUGGCCAGCUUCUUACUCUUUCCCUUGAUAAAGCCUCUGGCUCAGGCUUCCAGUCCAAGAAUGAGUAUCUAUUCGGCAAGAUUGAUAUGCAACUCAAACUAGUCCCUGGCAACUCUGCCGGCACUGUCACUGCUUAUUAUGUAAGUUCCUGCCUUUAUAUGAAUAAACAAUAUGCAUGUUUGAUCAUCACCCUUUAUAUGAAUAAACAAUAUGCAUGUUUGAUCAUCAUGUAUCUGACAUAUAGACCUUUGAUUUUUUGUUCACGCAGUUAAAAUCGCCAGGAUCAACAUGGGAUGAGAUAGACUUCGAGUUCUUGGGGAAUUUAAGUGGUGACCCUUACACUCUGCAUACCAAUGUUUUCACAAAUGGCAAAGGUGACAAAGAACAACAAUUUCACCUCUGGUUUGACCCCACUGCUGACUUUCACACCUAUUCUAUCCUCUGGAAUCCUCAGCGCAUUGUGUAAGCAAUAUUUUCCUUCAAUCUCCAUCAUUUCUUCUUUCCUUGUCAUUCAAUCUGCUUAGACUUAUCAAUGUUUACUUAAUUUUCAGCUUCUCUGUGGAUGGUACUCCCAUAAGAGAGUUCAAGAACUCAGAGUCAAUUGGAGUUGCAUUCCCAAAGAAUCAGCCAAUGAGAAUAUACUCAUCUCUCUGGAAUGCUGAUGACUGGGCUACAAGAGGUGGCCUUGUCAAGACAGAUUGGACGCAUGCUCCCUUCACGGCUUCCUACAGAAACUUCAACGCUGAUGCUUGUGUCUGGUCUAAUGGAAAAUCUUCUUGCGCUUCAAGUUCACCUUCCUCUCCAUCCAGCAGCAGUGCCUGGUUCUCACAAGAGCUUGAUUCAACAAGUCAAGAAAGGCUGAAAUGGGUGCAGAAGAAUUACAUGAUUUACAAUUAUUGCGCUGAUGCAAAGAGAUUUCCCCAGGGACUCCCUGCAGAAUGCAGAACCUCUUAGAAGUUUUGUAAAAUCAACACAUACAUCAAAAAAAUUAAUUCUUUUUGUCAAUUCUUUGAUUCUUUGUUGUAUUUUGUCGUCAAUAAGAUGGCAAAUUAGUCCAACUUUCUCAAUGUAAUACAAAAUUUAGCAUAUAAAUAUCAUGAGAUUAUGUUCUCUACUCUUCGCAUGCUUGCUAUAUGUUCUUCUUUGGCUAGGUUUUAACGUAGAAACGACCAAACCUCUUCACAUAUGCAAUGGUACUCUAAAUUUUGACUGACUUCACGGGUAAGGACUAGCAAAAUAUUCUAUUGCCAUUAAAACGACUUCUCCCAUUUGGGACUUUUAUCAAAUGUCUUGCAAGCAAACGAUUAAAAUUCACCCUAACACCCACUCCACGAUUUUUUUUUAAUGUCCUGUUAAAAUAGUAAACCCAACAGUAACAUGACAAUAAAAAGAUAAAUCAAGAACAAAUACAAUCACAAUUGUAUCCAGUUAUUUAAUUCUUAUAUUCAUCUUUGAUUCUUUCAUGUAGUAUUCAUGCAUGUUCACAAAUUUAGCAUCCAAGCUUUAUGGCAUUUUGGGAUUGAGCAUCUUCUUGAUUGGGACGUGAAUGGUUAAUACACCUAAUAAUUGCAACCUUUUGUUUUCUCGAUAAAAAAAUAAUAAUAAUAAUAACAUAAAGGGACUUGGAUGUAAAUAGAACAUACAGUAUGGACGUCCCUAGAUUUACAUUUUGGUGAAUUUCAACAAUUACCAAAAAGAUAAAAAAAUAAUAAUAAUAAAUAAAAAGAUAUAUAUUUAUUUCUAAAAGAACAUUAACUAAGUUCACCAUGUUUGUUAAAUUUGUCAAUUAUCAACAUUUGUGCUAUACAAAUCACAAACUUCAUAGCUGAUUCAAGUCAUAUAUUAAUACAACAAAUAAAAAAGUAUAAUAAAUUUAAAAAUUAAUAAUAAUAAUUUAAAAUAGAAAAUUAGAACGAUAGCACGUAAAAGGUUGAUUAGUUGAGAUGAAUAUGAUAAUCAAAUGUUAGAUGCUGGCAAUGAAGUUUAUAGGGAAGAUUAGAAUAAUAUUCCGAAUAGAUAUGAGAGUAAAAUUUUUUUUUGGCUGAGUAUCAUUGAUUCAAUAUCUAUUAGUUUUGAAGUUUGAAAUAGAGUUAAUAGAAUACUAGAUGUUUUAAAAUCUAACAUUUAUAAUUUUAAUAGAGUAGUUAUUUUUGAGAAAGGGAAAACGUUGAAUUUUUUUUCUUGUAAUUAUUAACCAAAUAAAGUUUCAAAGGGUUAGAAUCAUUAUUAUACCAUAAAUAUUAUAUUUUUAUAAAAAAAAUUAUUUUUAAAGUAAAGAUUAUUAAAUAUAGAGAUAAUUAUGAAUGGGAGUAAUAAUAGGGAGAUGCCUAAAAAUUAAAUUUUCCUACAAUAUAUACGCAACUUUAAAAAAUUAGAAUCUUAAAAUAAAUAUUAUUAUUAUGUUAAUAAAUAGAUAUUCAAAAUACAAAACCAGACGACUACCUAAUUCGGGUAGUGCUAAAGGCAUCCCUCACUACUAAUUAGCUUACAUUUUAUCAUUUAAUGUUAUACAAGACAGCUUCUGUACCUAGGCGCUAAAGUUUUUGGAACAGCCAGCUUUAAUGGACAGCGCAUUCUUUGGGAAAGCCCUGGGGAAAUCGCUUGGUGUCAGUGCAGUAAAAAAAUUUAUCAUGUGAUUCUUCCGCACCCAGUAAAGCCUCCGUUGGUUUGUGGGAUCCAUUUGUUGCAAGAGCCAGGCACGGCUACCAUCAACCUUGAAGUUUCUGUAAGAAGCAGUGAAAGGAGCUUGGCUCCAAUCCGUCUUGAUUAGCCCACCUCUUGUAGCCCAGUCAUCAGCAUUCCAAAGAGAUGAGUAUAUUCUCAUUGGCUGAUUCUUUGGGAAUGGAACGCCUAUAGCCUCCAGGUUUUUGAACUCUCUAAUUGGAAUACCAUCAACAGAUAAUGACAUAUUGAUAAUGCAAUUAAUUGAACAACACAAGUCAAUAAAAUUGUUGAAGCGAAUGACAUAUUGAUAAGAGAGAAAUGGACUUUACACAAUGCGUUGAGGAUUCCAGAGAACUGAAUAAGUGUGAAAGUUGACUGCGGGGUCAAACCAGAGGUGAAAUUGCUGCUCUCUGUCACCCUUGCCUUGGCUGUACACAUUUGUGUGAACUGUGUACGGAUGACCACUGAGGUUUCCCAAGAAUUCAAAGUCUAUCUCAUCCCAUGUUGGUCCUUGUGAGCGUAGCUACAACAUCAAAGACUCUCAUAAUUAAUAUUAAUUAACAUCAUUACAAAGAAAUCAAUGAAAACAGCAGGUGUUGAUAAAAAGAAAAGCGUACAUAAUAAGCAGUAACAGUGCCAGCAGAGUUGCGGGGGACAAGCUUGAGUUGCAUAUCAAUCUUGCCGAAUAAGUGUUGUUUCUUGGACUGGAAGCCUGAGCCAGAGUAACGGUCGAGAUUGAGAGUAAGCAGUUGGCCGUUGUUGAAUAUGUUCCCACGACCAUCUCCCCAUGUGAUAUCAAAUUCCUCAUUGAAAUUACCAGCAGAAACAGCAGCUAAACACCCAACAAAAGUACACAUCAUCAUCCCAAACGAAUCAGAACCCAUAUCUUUCAGGAUUUUGGGAACUGGAGCUCGCUAUACCUAAUAGUGCAUAAAUUAUUACUAGGUUUGCAUGGAUGUAAUGUAAUGUUAAGUUUGAGAAUGAAGCUGAACCUGGAUCAGCUCAUGUGAGAGUGCCAGCUGGAGUUUACUUGAUAACCAAAGGAGAUGCUCACACAAGCAAGGUGAUGCAAUCCACACGUGCAGAGGAAGAAUAUUCCAGCUGGCAGAACAGUUACACAGAGAUUCCUCAGCCAUUAUGUGAUGUAGCAAAUUAGUUAUAGAUUAGUGGCUGUGAUUAAAACUGAGCUUACACACUUUACUUGCAUCUGUUAUCUCAUCCCAUCUGUUAUAUACAUCAGUAACUUUGUACAUUGUAAACUCAAUAAAACAGUUACAAUUCAUUGCUCGAAAUGAUCUAAAAAUCUCACAGCAUGGAUGUAAUGUAAUAUUAUAUAGGGGAUUGGAGUAUAGAAAUGGACAAAAGAGAGUGAAGAAGAGGGUGCGUUUGGAUGGUUGUUUCAUGUUUGCCGUUUCUGAGAGUGCAAAGUUGUCAACAGCUGGCUGUGCCAUGAAUUGAAAGAGAGGCAAAUUUGGCUGUUUCUCAUUUGCAGACAGAUUAUAUGACAUGGCCCCAAAUUCCAAAUGGGGUUCGGUGCCUGCAUGCAUACCCACUUGAUCUUGAAUUGCGAUCAUGAUUAUCCGGUACUCGCACAUAUCUAUGUAGAUACGGGUUUAGGUUGUACUUUUGCUUCUGCCGAUUCCACCACCAUGGUACUUUUGUACUUUUAUUGAAAUGCUGUCAAAUACAUUGUUGCCCACUUUCCAUUAAUUACCUCGAGAGUUGGGGAACAGAUUAUGUUGUAUUGUAUUCGUUCUCUUGGUUUGUACUUUUUAAUUUUCUUGCAACAGUAAGCUGAGAUACAGAGAUUUGAUUCUUUAUUUAAACAAAAAAAAAGGAGAGAAACCAGAAUGUAGGUCCAAAGAAUAAUGACAGUUGAGUACGAAGUCUGUUCAUGCAACCCACGAAUUGAUUCAUAAAAUUUUUGUAACCUUUCUUAUAACAACAUGCAGUAGUCUUUCUCUAGUGCGGACAUCCUUAUUUUAUUUUCAUGCGGAUAUACUUUAAAACCGUGGGAUUUAAGAGAAUUAACUUCUAACUCACUUAAGCCCCACGGUUUUACAGUUCAUUUAAAAACCAACUCUUUUAAACAACACUAUAUAAAAGUGUGUCCGUAUUAAAAAAAAAUGUGGCGUCCACACCUGAGAAUGAUUAUAACAUGCAGUAUCCCAAAAAAAAAAAAAAUUGGUAUUAAAGACAUUCAAAGUGUCAGUUCAAACAUAUUGUAAAGGAAAUUACACUUUAACACUCUCUAGCACUCUCUUCCAGCAUCUAGGCUGAAGCUUUCUCAAAAGACCCUGGCCGGCUUUGCCUUAAUAAACAAGUCGUUGAGGCAAAUUAGGACAUUGUUGGUGCAUGCUUUGGGUUCAGUGAUUAGUUAAUUACGUAUUAUAUAACUCGUCUUUCUUAACACUUGGUGACAUGUAUCCUGUGAGCAGUAUCACAACGGUAUAAAUUUUCAAUGUAAUAUACAAUCUCCCCAUGCAUGGGCGGCUACAUGUGACUUGGAUAAAAGCCAUGACGAAAUGAGAUUAUGGAUUGCUCUGCAUGAGUUAGGAAAGAAAAUUCUUAGGGUAAUUGAACACUGAACAAAAUCUGAAUAUUGUUCGAUUUAAGGAAAACAAUCAACUUUGUUAAAUUUUUUGCAGUUAUCUUUGGAAGAAGUUUGGGAUAAUUAUGCAAAUCAUAAAUGGCCCAUUAGAGCUCGGCCCGCAAGGUUCAUGAUUCUCGGCCUAAUUUCAUUUGGGCCUAGCAGGGACCUGAUGAGUCCUUAAUAUCAAUACCUACCCAUUUCUUCUUGAUAAUUGGCAUAUAUAAUAAGGGUCAAUAAUAUAUUAUAUUACUUUGUAGAAUAAUUAUCUAAUGAUGAGGAUGCCAACCGAAGUCCAAAAUGAAAAAAGAAAAAGAAAAAUGAAUUUUGAUGAAACCAUCCUACAUCAUUUAUUACUAUUAUUUAGAUGCAUCAAGUGGGAAGCGAUAUUCUUAUGUUAUAUAAUUGAUGGCAAUCAACAAACCCUAUUGAGAAAAGUAGAAGAAAGAAUAAAAAUAUAAUUGAAAUACGAAUUUCCAAACACUGAAUGGAUUAGAAAAGAUUCAUCGUCCUAAUUUUUGUUGGUGCAUUCUUGGGGGAGGCCCUGAGGGAACCGACUUGUGUCUGUGCAAUAAUUGUAAACCAUGUAAUUUUGCUGCACCCAUUUUAGCUUCCUUUGGCUUGAAGAGUCGAGCUCCUGUGAAAACCAUGUAUUUUUAGUUGUGGGAUUCGAGCUGCAAGAAGAUAUUCCGAUGGACCAAACACAAGCUUUUGCAUUGAAGUUUCUGAAGGAAGCAGUGAAGGGAGCCUGAGACCAGUCUGUUUUCGCCAGUCCCCCUCUUGUAGCCCAGUCAUCGGCAUUCCACAGGCUAGCAUACAUUCUCAUUGAUUGUUUUUUGGGAUACAGAAUGCCGAAUGAUUCAAGAUUCUUGAAUUCUCUGAUGGGUCUGCCAUCAAUAUAGAAGCUGAACAAAAAGAAAAUGUAAUAAAAAGUUAAUGCGAGCUUGAUAAAAUUAAAUCCAGGAUUCGAAUUUCGCUCACAUCAGGGUUGUGUAUGUACUAACACAAUGUGACCUGGAUUCCAGAGGAUUGAAUAAGUGUGAAAAUCGGCAGUGGGAUCAAACCAGAGGUAGAAUUGUUGCUCUCUGUCACCUUUUCCUUGUGUGUAGACAUUUGUGUGAACAAUGUAAGGGUUGCCACUCAAAUUCCCCAGGAAUUCGAAGUCUAUUUCAUCCCAUGAUGCCCCUGGAGAUUUUAGCUGCACCAUAGCAAGUCUACGUAUCAGCAUAAUGAUGUGACGACUGACAAACAAAUUAUAUGUGAAAGGGAACAAGAAUCUUUCAUUAAGGAGCUUACAUAGUAGGCAGUGACAGUGCCAGCAGAGUUGUUGGGAACAAGCUUGAGCUGCAUAUCGAAUUUUCCAUAGAGAAAUUCAUUCUUAGACUGGAAGCCAGAGCCAGAUGCUUUGUCGAGAGACAGAGUAAGAAGCUUGCCUUUGUUAAGAAUCUUGGCACGUCCAUCACCCCAUGUAAUAUCAACAUCGUUGUUAAAAUUACCAGCAUUUGCAACAAUGAAAGAGCUUGUGACAAUAAAAGAGAACAAGAAAAUUGGAUAUGAAGAAUAAGAAUAGCAAGCCAUUGACUUCGGGAACGUUAUGCAACUUAGUUUGACACACUUGAGAAUACUGAGUUCCAGGCUAUUUAUUGGAGCUACUGGUUAGUGCAUCGAAUGUUCGCCAAAUAUUGAAAUGUAUAGUUGGUUGGUGGGGCGAGUUGAGAACUGAACAGCUGGAUAGCAAAAACAAGUGCACAUUGAAAAUGGGCAUCUUUGUCAUAACUUUAAGCCAGUCAAAUUGCUUACGGGCAUUAUUUUACAGGAGAGAUGAGCAUAGUUGCUACUUGCUUCCUAGGUUAUUUCCACCUACCCCUGAGCAUUUGGCAUAUCCACCGACAAAUAAUGCGAUGCCACUUCCAUGAAAAUUUGUUUUCUAGUAUGUUCUAGUGGACACCCAGAAGUUGCCAGAUCAAAGAGAAAUGGUUUUGGAUUUACUAUAUUGUAGCAUUAGAUUUCCCCACUUCCCUCUUGGGAUUCUGAAAACAUCGAGGGAGACCAUGAAAGUUUUUAAGGCUGAAAAAAUAGGGCAUACCCCAUGGAAAAUGUAAUAGCAUUAUAUAUAUCCAGAAGAAACAGCAGCUGCCAGAAGCUUGUAACCCUAUGUCAACAAAAUAUAAAGUAACCAAAUGGGCAACGCAUAACCAUUGUAAUUGAACCAAAAGAGUUUCAGCCGGGUCCCCCAUGUCAUAUACUAUAACAAACCAAAAAUCUAUACUUUUAAUGACAUAGGAAGCGGGAAUAGUAUUUAUGAAUCAGUGUGAUUUAUAAAAGGAUACCCACAUCCACCUUAUUUAAAAAUUUGCAUGGCAAUCAAGACAAAUUUAAAAUCUAUCAACAUGAGGCACUUGCAACGUGAGAGAAAUUGGAUCCACAACUAAAAUAGAAAAUAGAGUCUUCUAAGAAAAUAAUCCAUUAAUAGUCCUAGAGAAAAAUCUAUGGAAAUGUUCACAUCAAGCACAAAAUUAGUAGUAACUAUGACUACGGUUUCAAUCAACAAAUCUGUCAAAGCCAGUCAUCAUCGAUCAUUGAAGGAUAAAAAAAUGGCAGAGUUAGAAUUUCCGCGAGUUAUGAUAAUCCGGAUCAAAGCAAUUGUCGUCAGAAGGGUCCUUCAAAAAAUCAUCCGGGGGACAUUCAUUUAACUGUUCAAAUUUCAUAUCGCUCUCCAAAGCUUGAAAUGGUCUUGCUGCUGCAGCUGAUGAUGAUUCUGCCACUUGAUUAGAAGUAGCAAACAUAUGUUGAUGAGGAUAUGUGUGGAAAGGUCUUGCUGCUGCUGAUAUGAUAUUUCUGCAGGUUGAUUAGGAUUCCGAUUUGAAGUAGCAAACAUAUGUUGAUGAGGAUAUGCCUGGAAAGGUCUUGCCCUUGCUGCUGCUGAUGAUUCGGCAGCUUGAUUAGGAUUCUGAUUAGCAGUCGGAAUCAUUAUAUGUUGAGUCCAUGGAGAGCUCUGCCCCAUAGGAUUGUUAUACGAAUAUGGAGCAAUUGCAGGGAACCUCCCCUGAGAAACUGAAACUGAAACAUUUUGAUUAGUCAUUCCAGGGAACCUUCCUUGAGAAUCUGAAACAUCGUGAAUAGCCAAUCGAGGGAGCCUUCCUUGAGAAUAGGGAACAUUGUGAUUAGGCAUUCCAGUGACCCUGCCUUGAGCAUAUGGAACAUUGUAAUUAGGCAUUUCAGGAACCCUGCCUUGAGAAUAUGGGACAUUGUGAUUAACAAAGUGGCUCUGAUGAUAAAUGAAAGUAUCAUCAUAUGAAUUGAGAAAUCCUCCCUGAUUGUAGAAACCAGACAUAUCAAUGAUUCGGGGACCUUCAGGACCGUGAGGCAUGAAAGUUUCAUUGGGCAGCGUAGCAGAGUCUUCAACUCCAAUAUCAAUGGCUCCAUUAUCCUGAAAUUCAGUGUCUGAUUGUGGAUCAUCUUGGCCUGAAAUUGAAUCAUCCUGUCGCGAAGUUGAAGGUCUUGAAGACGACAGCUUAGAUCUAUCAUGGUCCCUUUUCUUAUAUAUCUUACAGAGUACCCAAUCAUCUAACUGCAAUCAACAAAAUAUAUAAAAGCAAAACUCAUCAGCAAACCAACAUUGUAAAAUCGCUGCAACACUUCACAUAUGAUACUGAAAGAAACCACAAAAUUUAGUUACCCUCAUGUCAUCUCCGCUGAUUCUGGUCCUUGGAGGACCCUCCAAUCUAAAUUCAUGCAUUAUCCAUUCAGUUUUAUCUCCCCUUGGGGGUUUUCCCAUGUAGAAGACCAAUGCCUUCUUGAAUCCAACGACAACGUCGUCGUUUUUUAUAGGUUUGUCAGCUCCAGUUGCCUUCCAGAAUCCAUCUCCAGCAGCUCUAUUGGGUCUUGUCCCGUUUUUGUACUUUCUCUCUCUUGGAGUAAAAAAGUACCAUUCAUUCUCACCAAACGGCUUAUACUUUUCUGUGCAUUAUUAAUACAGAAUCAUCAUUGUAUCAAUCACCCAAAAAAAAAAAAAAAGAUCUACACUUCCUGAAUCCAUUAUAUGGAAUACGGAAUAAUAUCAACAUAAAUAUUUAGUCUUUGUUUUGGAUACAUAUAAGUACCAAACUACGAGACCAUAUGUAGAAAAUUAAAUCAGCAUUCAACAACGCCAAGAAGUAACUUUUAAGUCAAGAAACUGAAGAGCAAACCAUUUUAUGUCAAGAAACUCAAGAAAUGCCCACUCCAAUUACAAAUGAACUCAAGAAAAGCACUAAGAGCAUUACCAAAGUACGAAAACAAAUCAAAUUAUGAGACUAUAUGUAUAACGAACGCAAAGGAAACACUUCUAACUCAAGAAACUAAACCAUUUCAAGAAACUCAAGAAGUUACACUCUAAUUAAUAACCAAAUGAACUCAAGAAAAAGAAAGAACUUAAUAUGCGUAAGUGCAUUACUUAAUUUAAAGAAAAAUACCAGCAAGGCAAUUGCAAAAAAACAAAAGAAACAAAAAAGAGAAAUGGGGUGGUGGGUAUUUUUAACCUGAAAGUGUAUCAGGAUUAAAUUUGUACAAGUGAACUUCCUUAAUCCGAUUUGGUGGCAAAGGUUCAUUCAUUCUCUUCCUCCGCAAGUAAUGAACUAGAAGCUCUAUGUCGUGAGGCUUGAACCUGUAACCAGGAGGAGAGUUAUCAUCGAACUCAGGACCCUGAGUAGCAUUCAUCCAAUUCCGCACAGGUGGUGAAGCAUCACGAGUAUGAUCUAUAGGCCUUUUUCCUUUAGGGCCUUGGCCAUUAGGGUUUUUACCAUUGCGGUCUUGGUCGUUAGGGUCUUGGUCCUUAUCUCUCUGCUGCUGGUCCGGCAUUGAUAACUUUUACCGAAACUUGAAGGAGACGUUGCUUUCCCUAUAAAAUUGACCUCACAAGAAUAUUUGUUGUGAUCAGAUACAUGGGCUGUUAGGGCCCUUAUAGUUUAUUUUAUUUUAAUUGCUUGUUUUAAUUUCUUUUCUAUUAGUAUUAGGUUUUCUUAUUUGAAUUAAAGUCCUUAUUAAAUUAAUAUUAGGAUUGUCUUGAACUACUAUAAAUUAGUGGUUCUUAUUAUGUUUUUAGGAGACAAGUAAUAUAUUUAAUUCUAAUUCCUAUUAAUGCUUCUCCCUUCUCUUUAAAUUCUUCAUCUAUUCUCUUUUAAUUCUCUAAUCAAAAUCCUAGAAUCCUAUCAUAUGGUAUCAGAGCACAUCCUUACUGCCACCAUUUUUUUUUUCUUUCACUAUUUGAAAAAAAAAAACCAGCAACCAAACUUUUGUCAAUAUCUCUUGGCUUUUGGAGACUUGAACCGAGCCCACCCUCCAAACUUUUUCCAGCAUCUAAAUUUUUCAACCAAACGUAAAUUUUCUUUGGACUUUUUUUUAGGCAUCAUGAAUGUUAAGGAGCUUGAAGGCCAAGUUGAGCAGUUAUCACAACAAUUCCAUGACAAGUUUACAGCCAUCGAUGACAAGGUUACAACCUUAGCCAAGUAGAAUAACGAUUUGCAGGAACUCAUGCACGGCAUCCUUCAGCAAUUGAGUCAGCUGCGAAAAGGCAAACUACCAGCUACUGAUCAACGACAAGUUGAUAUAUUUACUGGAGGGACCUCUGCUCCUCAAACGGUAAUUGCUACCCAACACCCUCUUGAACCUACUGAACGCAUUGGAAGUACUCUCGUGCAAGCUCGUAACAUACGCCUUGACUUUCUUAUUUUUCAUGGUGACAAUCCAACGGGAUGGAUUUUUCGAUGUGAGCAAUAUCGUCGUCUUACUGGAUUAUCAGAUGUUGACUUAUUGUCUUUAGCUAUUGGCCAUCUUGAUGGUGAUGUUGUACCUUAGUUUCAUUGGCUAGAACAGACUAUGAGCGAAAUGACUUGGGCACAAUUUAAACGGGCUUUGACUACUCGAUUUGAGACAUUAGGAAAGAAUGAUGCAGUUGGCAGUCUUACCAAACUACGUCAAACAGGGACUGUUCUUGACUAUCAACGACAAUUUGAAAAGUUGGCUGAUCGGACUAGCAAUUUAACUGAGCCUUUCUUCAUUAGUUGUUUCCUCUCUGGGUUACGUGAAGAUAUCAAGGCUGUCGUACAACUAUUCAAACCUGUUAGUCUCCUACAAACUUUUGAACUUGCUAGAUUUCAGGAAAAAGCAAUUGUUCCCCUAUUCCUGCCAUCCAAGAUCCACUCCCACAAUUACAGUCAACUCCUACUCCAGCAGCACCCUCUUUAUUAGGACUGAUUCCCUCUAUCUUACCUAAUAAUGUCAAACGUUUAUCCUCAGCCGAGCAGGCGAAAAGACGUUCUAAAGGACUUUGUUUCAACUGUGACGAGCAAUUCAAGCCUGGACAUCGUUGCAAACAAUCUCAACUAUUGCUUUUAGACGCUGAUAUACCUCUUCACAACCCACCAAAACCACCUGACCAUCAUGCGGAUUGGAAGAUCUCGGUUAUUGAGACUGGGUAAAAGGCUUGCGGACAAGCCUGUUUUAAGCGGCGGGGAAUGUUAAGACCCUAAUAGUUAUUUUAUUUUAAUUGCUUGUUUUAAUUUCUUUCCUAUUAGUAUUAGGUUUUCUUAUUUCAAUUAAAGUCCUUAUUAAAUUACAAUUAGGAUUGUCUUGAACUACUAUAAAUAAGUGGUUCUUAUUAUGUUUUUAAGAGGCAAGUAAUAAAAUUAAUUCUAAUUCCUAUUAAUUCUUCUCCCUUCUCUUUAAAUUCUUCAUCUAUUCUCUCUUAAUUCUCUAAUCAAAACCCUAGAAUCUUAUCAUGGGCUUAUUUUAUACUAAUAUAUUUGGAUUAUAUAAUAUUAAAUAAAGUAGAUACUUUUUCUAACUGAUCGGUUUAUCAAACGGUUUUUGGAAGGCGAUUUAUCCUUUGGAUUCAGUUAAGAUGCCAAUCUAUCGGCGGUCAAUGAUUUGAUGGUUAUGAUUGAGUUCAAUGAUUCCAGAAUGUGUGCUUUAGUAGCUGUCAUUGAAGCUGAUGUGGCGAAAUGUGAUAGUUUCUGCUGAUGUAGUUGAUUGAGAAGCAGUAAAAUUCUUCAAAGUAGAAGAAGAAUAGAAGUUAUUUUACUGCCGUAUCUUUUAGCAAAAUGAGAGAAUAUAGGACAGCUUUUCCCUUGUAGAAGACCAAUGCCUUCUUGAAUCCAACCAAACUGCCAUUGUGCUUAACAGGUUUAUCAGCUCCUGUGGCCUUCCAGUACCCAUCUGCAGCAGCUCGAUUGGGUCUUAGACCAUUUCGAUACUUUCUAUCUCUUGGUGUAAAGAAAUAACAUUCCAUUUCACCAAGUGACUUGUACCUUUCUGUAAAUCAUUGCAUCAGUGGACAGAAUAAAAGAAAUUUCAUAAAGAAAUCAUGAAACAAAAAAAAUAUAGACAAACUAAUACGAAAGAAAUAACAUAUUAUAAACGUUUUGAAUAUGAGGGGAUUAAAUUUUAUAUGCUGAUUUACAACACCAUCUAAAUCUAAAAUCAUACCUGAUGUAAAAUCCCAUCACAUUAAAAUAAACACUGUAAUAUUAUAUAUGUAAUGGCAUAAACAUCUAUCGUGAAAAAGAGUAGAGAAGCCAGAAAUAUCCCAAGCGAAGACUACAAAAUUUGAAUAAUGAAGAGUAAAGAAGCCACUAACGAGACUCAGAAAAUUUCCAUUAUAAUAAAUAAUAAUCUCGAGAAAUAAGGAAUAAACAGAUUUUUUUUUAAAAAAUAAUAAUCAUAUAUGAUGCGUGCCAAUAAAACAACAUACAACACAGAAAUUGAGAAAAUAAGAAAUUAAAAGUGACUUUUUUUUCCCCUAACCUGUAAGUGUGUUAGGAUUAAACCUAUACAACUCCACCACCUUGAUCUGGUUUGGAGGCAAUGGCUGAUUCAGUAUCUUCCUCCGCAAGUAAUAAACCACAAGUUCUCCAUCGUGGGGUUUGAAUCGGUAACCAGGCGGGAAUGAAUCAAAAUAAGAAUCAUCAGCGAUCAGAUGAUGACCAGUACUCUUCACAGGAUGCCGUACAAGUGAAGCAUCGUCACUUUGCUUUUUAGGGCUUUCUCCAUUAGGGUUUUCUCCACAAGGGUUUAUCCCUUCAUCUCCACAAGGGUUUAUCCCUUCGACCCCCAGCUGCUCCUUCUGUUUUUGGUCCUUCAUUCAGAACUUAGGAAAAUGAUGCAGAUGAAAAAUGGACCAAAUAGAAGUGAUAGCUAGCUACUUUGUUCGUUGUGAUAAGAUUUAUGUGACUUCAUACAAAUAUUUUGGGAUAUCAGGUAGCUAUUAUUUCUAAUUUGAUUAAUUGAAGUUUUACUUUUGUGUUUAUCAAAUAAGUGUAAAGUUAUCUUUUUGCCACGUGCAAAUGAUGCUGGAGCCUAAGAUGUCGGGGAAACGUGGCGGUGAAUUUCAGUUGAUGGAGCUAAUUUGGAGGAGUCAAUAUCUGUCAACACAUUUAAAGGUAAAGUUUAAUUUCAAAACAUUAAAAAGAGGCAAGUUUGGGAUUGAGUUGCUACAAAAGUUAUUAAUAUUAAUUAUUACUGUGUAAAUGUUUGAUAAAAAUAUUAGCUGUUAAGUUAAUUAUGUAAAUAUGACAGCUCAAAAUAUUCUGAAAUUGUUUUGCUCUUUAUAUUCAUAUCAUCUUGCUAAAACUUUAUUAUCAUUUAACAGUAAUUAACGACGAGCACCAUUGAACUUUAUUAUAUCUAGACACAAUAUGUAUAAAGAUAGAGUGGUUGUGCAACUCAAGAUCCAAUUGAAGUCAAAGGUUUCAUUUUAUAAGAUUCAUUAUGUCUCCUCAUGAAUCAUGACCAAGUACAUAAUUCUUCUUUUUUGGUUACGAUUUUCUUAUUGUCAAGAUUACUAGAAAGAAAAGUGAAGAAAAAUAUAUUAAGACUUGUUGUAAUCUUAAGAUAAUCAUUUUUACUCUCGGCGAUUAUAAAAGUCAAUAAGUAGUACUAACAUGAAAGAAGUAAAGAUCUCAACGGCGUUGUUGAAUAGUUUAAAAAUGUAUGCAUUUAAAGAUUGGGACCAAUUAAUAACAGGCAUAAACUUUGAUUUAAUUCAAAUAAUAUGUGGGCUCCCGAACCCACAUGGGCCAUUCAAUUUAGAAAAUUUUGGAACCGUUUAGACAUUGGGUGACACUAUUGGCACACCUGUUAAUCCUCUUAAAACCCCUAUUCCAACAAAUUAUAAUUAAAGAUAAAUAUAAAUAAAAUUAAUUGCACUUAUAUUUUUUCUCUCUUGAAUCUAUUUUUAAAAAUAAAAUUUGAGUGUAUAAUCAACUCUUAAAUAACAUCUUGUAAUACCUUGAACAUCUUCAAACGCUAAUUAAAUCCUCAUUUAAUUACCGAACUUAAAAUUUAUACAUAAGUUGAAUCAUUUUAUUGUAAAAUAAUUUUACUACUAACCAAAUUCAACAUUGAAUAAGAUUUAAUCAAAUUAUUUAUUUAAAAAACUAGAAAAUACAUUCAAAAUUUUAAAAUGCAGCGCACUGAAAAAAAAAAUUCUCAUUUGUUUAGAUACAUAAAAAUUAACUAAAAUUAUGAAAAUUAACUCUUUAGAAAAUUAUAUUUAUUUAUUUAAUUAUAUUUAUUUUAUAUUAUUAUUGGAUAAGAUAUAAUAUGGUGUUAAUAUAAUUAUAUUUUAACUUAUUUAUUUAUUAGUAAGCACUAAUGCCACAUUUACAAGUUUUAUUUUUUAACUAAAUAAAUAUUUUUUUUUUUUACAGAUUCGCGGAUUUCUGCAAAUUUAUAAAAGUAAAUCUAUAUUCAAUCCACCAACUGCGAAUUUUUUAAUUUUCAAUCUAAUCCAAUCUAUCAAUUCACAUAUCGAAUUUUUAUAGAUCAAAUUUCUAUAAAUCAGACGAAUUGAGCGAAUUGAAUUGGAUUUUGAACACCCUGCUCAUUUUCUUAAGCAUAUUUUGGGACUAUUCAAAGUACGGAAACUGCUCCAAAGUCAUCCUAAUCACAUAGGGCUGAGCCCAGCCGGUCAGUAGAUGCGGAAACUAUAUAGAGUGGUCAAAAAGCACCCAUCAGCCAAAAUUUCAACGUGUUAAUAAACCAUGCUUAGGGCUGUCACUUGUGUGACAUGCAUAAAUCCGCAUUUUCGCAGUUUCUUUUCACUAAUUUCAGUCUUUGCCAUCUGUUUCCCGCCCUUGCUCUUUGCCCCACAAGUGCUAGCCUAAUCCUUGACUCGUACUCUUCCCCAUCAUCUCUCUUAUCUCUUAAAAUUUUCAUUGUUCUUUUUCCAAAUGGCAAAUCGCUUCUUUCUUUUCAUCUCUAUAAAAAUCCAAAACUAUAACAAAAUUUUAAAUAUCGCACAAUGGCUGCGGCUAAAUCACUAGUAGUGCUGAUAAUGCUGUCUGCUUUAUUAUCUAACUCUUUUGUGUUAGUUUUACCAGCUAGUAAUUUUUAUCAAGAUUUUGACAUCAUAUGGGGAAUUGACAAGGUCAGGAUUCUCAACGAUGGAGAAGUCCUCAAUCUUUACCUUGGCAAAGACACAGGCUCAGGUUUCCAGUCUAAGAAUGAGUAUCUAUUUGGCAAAAUUGACAUGCAAUUCAAGCUUGUCCCAGGCAACUCUGCUGGCACUGUCACAUCUUACUAUGUAAGGCGUAAGCUGCCAGUGAUCUUGCACGAAAAUGUUUUUCUCUUUAAGAGUAAGCUUAUUUUUAAUUCUGUGUUAUAGUCGUCAUCACAAGGAUCAACAUGGGAUGAGAUAGACUUUGAGUUCUUGGGAAAUCUCAGUGGCGAUCCUUAUAUUUUUCACACAAAUGUAAUCACACAAGGCAAAGGUGACAGAGAGCAGCAAUUUUAUCCCUGGUUUGAUCCCACUUCAGAUUUUCACACAUAUUCCAUUCUCUGGAAUCCCAAAACCAUCGUGUAAGAAUUUCAAUCCACUAAUCAUCUCUUGUUGAAAACAAGCAACAAUUCAAGUCACUAAUUAAUCCUCUUCUUUUUUUUAUUAGACGUGUCUCUUUUUUUUGGUUUAAUACUUCAUAUAUUCUUUGGGCGCUUUUGGGUUAAAAAGGCUCUCUAACAUUUUUGUUUAAAAACGUUUUCAGAUUCUAUGUCGAUGGCACACCGAUUAGAGAGUUCAAGAACUUGGAGUCAAUCAACAUUCCUUACCCAAAAAACCAACCAAUGAGAAUACACUCGAGUCUCUGGAACGCUGAUGACUGGGCAACAAGAGGCGGUCUUGUCAAAACAGAUUGGACAAAAGCUCCAUUUACAGCUUCUUGUAGAAACUUUAAUGCCAAAACUUGCAUUCGUUACCCAGCAGGUCCAAUCAUUUCUGCGCCUUGCCCUUCGAAUUCUUCAUCCUCUGCAUGGAUGAAGAUCGAUGAGCUUGAUGAAACAAGCCGAGAGAAACUCAAGUGGGUGCAGAAGAAUUACAUGAUUUAUAAUUAUUGCACAGACACAAAGCGCUUCCCAAAAGGGCUUCCUCCUGAGUGUGCUGUGGCCACGAGUGCUUACAUAGAUUCCGUACGAGUAUAAACAUAUAUAUAAUAACAAUACUUUAUAUCAUAAUUUUGGUAGAGUUAUACAAUACUGGUGUGUUUAUUUCCCUGAUUGGACGGAAUCAUUAAUAGCAUUUAUUUUAUCAAAUAAGUAUGGGAAUGAAAGACUAAUUCUCAAUGGUUGAUUUUUGGAAAUAAAAAAUCUGUUUCCAUUGAAAUUUUAACAUUCUGAAAAUACCUUCAUUCAAUUAAAAAAAUUUAAAUAAAAAAAAACCACAGCAAACAGUCGCUGUAAAUUAAAGCCUCACCGAUUUUCAUCGUCUUCACCAAACUGUCAUUGCAAAAAUCAACGCAUUGGUCAUCGCUGACCGUUGAGCAGCAGCAAUAGCAACAACGAUCUAGCAGCAGCAACAAUCACUGAUGAUGAUUGUUGAGAAUUCAGGUUGUGAAGAACCAACAAUUGAUCCCAAGGCCCUGCUGGCAUGCUACCUGAGCAACCAUUUCCAAAGACCAGCUGAUGAGGAAGGUGAGGUGUAUCCUAUGAGCUGGCAAAACUGUUACGCUGAGGAAUAUCAACAUGUGAACUCUGCAAGCUGGAAAUUUCUAGAACGUUUUCAAUGAUUGGUUGCGCAGCUAUCAUUCUUUGUCUUAUUCAUUUUCAGCAGCUCCUUGAGCAAGCAAUUGUCGUUUUUAGUUCAAGUAUAAAUAUAUGAAACAAUUGUAUUUUUAUUUUUAAGUAAUCAUAAUAAAAAGGAAUGUUUGUUUCUCUGCUGCUUGCAUAUUCAAGCAAUUCAUUAAGAAUUUAAGUUGGUAUCAGAGCAACUUUAAGCUAUGGAAAGCAGCAGAAAUUCACAAACAAACAUGAAUCAAACACUGGAAAAUCCAGACGACCAAAACUUGAAUCAAAAUCAACCAGAAAAUGUUGAUGACCAGAAUCCAAACAACUACACCAGAAAUAUGACCACAGUGAAUCCAUCUCCUACCCAACACAUCACCAGCAACACAUAUGUGUUCACUAAUCCUAUCAAGCUAACACAGAACAAUUUUAUGCUCUGGAAAUCACAAGUGAUUUCCAGCAUAAGAGCAAAUGAGCUCGAAGGCUUCAUAAAUGGGAGCCAUAUUUGUCCCCCCAGAUGUUUCAUUAAUCCUGGACCUAAUCAAACUAUUAUUACCACCACAAAUCCAGAAUACCAAAUCUGGAAGAAACAAGACCACAUUCUUCUGAGCUGGUUGCUCUCAUCACUCAGUGAAGGUGUGCUUGGCACUGUGGUGGAUUGUUCUACUUCAUGUGAAGUAUGGACAACUCUUGCCAAUCAAUAUGGUGCAAGAACAAGAGCUAGAGUUCUAUACUUGAGAACACAGAUUCAAACCACCAAAAAGGGGUCCCUUAUAAUUCAUGACUAUUAUUCCAGAAUGAAAACUAUCCUAAACACUCUUAGAGCAGUUGGAAAUAAUAUGACUGAUGAGGACUUCAUUAUGUGUGUUUUAGCUGGAGUAAGACCUGAAUAUGAUUAUGUAGUCACUAAUAUUAAUUCUAUGCCAGAAACUCCCUCAUUAUCAGAAGUGUAUGGAAUGCUCCUCAGCCAAGAAACUAGAACUGAACAGAACCUCAGCACAGGGUCACUUGAGGCCAACUUCACACAAAUGAGAAAUGGUAGAAGGAAUUGGGGGUAUGGUGAGAGAUUUGGUAAUCAACAGCAACCUGGGAUAGUCUUUAGAACCCCUGGUGGUAGCUUUGGAAAUGGUGGAAGUGGUGGUCCUGGUCAGGCAAGCCAAAAUGCUCAAGACAAAGGGAAAGGCAAGGCUGUUGCAGAAAAUGAAGGCUCUGAAUCAAAGGGUCCAUGCGAGAUAUGCUUCAAAAUGGGUCACACAGCUGCUGAAUGCUGGCAUAUAUUCAAGAAAAAUUAUGUACCACAACCAAAUAGGAGAAGAGGAGCAUACAUGGCCUCAGCAGAAGGACAAAGCAUCAAUGCCUGGUACCUUGACAGUGGUGCAACAAAUCAUGUAACCAAUGCCAUUGGGAACAUGAACUUGAACUCAGAAUACCAAGGUAAUGACAAGCUCAUUGUUGGUAAUGGUAAUAAACUUCACAUCUCUCAUAUUGGUUACUCCAUGUUACCUACUUACAAUCCACACAAGCACAUCAAACUAAAUCAUAUUCUUUGUGUGCUUGAUAUUGCCAAGAACCUUAUUAGUGUUUCUAAACUGCUUCUUAAUAAUGAUAUUAAUGUUGAAUUUCAUAAAUCUGUUUGCUUUAUCAAGGACAAGAGCCAAGGGAAAAUUCUGGUGAAAUGAGUGGCUAGAGAUGGACUAUACGAGCUACUAUGCAUGCCUACUCACUUGAGUGGCAAUAAGGUCACAUAUGCUGCUGAGUUAUCUUCCUUUUCAGAGUCUGAGUCAAUAAGUUGCAUUAACAAUCCUAUGUCAAUGAUGUGUUUCAAUUUCAGUAUUGGUAGUAAUGAGUCUGUCAGUACCAGUAUAGCUGAGUCUAGUGAGGCUGAUAAAACAAGUAGUAGGAACCUUAGAACCAAUGAUAUGGAUCUUUGGCACCAUAGGCUGGGGCAUCCAAAUUUGUCAGUUCUAAGAAACACUCUACUCUCAUGUAAUCAGCUCAAUAUCAAUAAAAACAUUUUUCCUUCAUUUUGUAAUGCCUGUCAGUAUGGAAAGCAAGCAAAACUGAGCUUCAAAAGCAUUGAAACCAAAACCAGCACAGCCUUAGAAUUGGUUCACAGUGACCUCUGGGGACCAACACCUAUACCAUCAACCCAUGGACAUAAAUAUUACAUAUCCUUUGUGGAUGAUAGAACUAGAUACACAUGGCUGUUUCCUCUAAUAGCAAAAUCACCGGCCCUUGACACAUUCAUUGUGUUUAAAACUCAAAUAGAAAAUCAGUUAAAUCUGAAAAUCAAGGCCUUACAAACAGACAUGGGUGGAGAGUUUAAAACAUUUGAACCAUAUCUAAAAAGGGAAGGAAUAGCUCUAAGACACUCAUGUCCAUAUUUACAUGAACAAAAUGGAAAGAUGGAAAGAAAACACAGACAUAUUGUGGAAACAGGUCUAGCAUUGUUAGCUCAAGCAAGAAUGCCCUUAAAGUAUUGGCAAAAAGCCUUCAGCUAUGCCACUUACCUCAUAAACAGACUGACCUCACCUACACUCGAAAACAAAACUCCAUUUGAGCUGUUAUAUCUCACCAAACCAGAUUACUCACAAAUCAAAAUUUUUUGCUGUGAAUGCUAUCCAUACUUAAGACCCUACAACAAGCAUAAGUUUGACUUCCAUACAUCCAAAUGCAUACUGCUGGGUAUCAGUAUCAGUCAUAAAGGCUAUGUUUGCAUGCAUCAUUCAGGAAGAGUCUACAUUUCAACUAGUGUCAAGUUUAAUGAAAGCUCAUUCCUUUUUCAAAAUGACUCAAAUUUCUGCAAGCAUAGGCUAACUGAUCAAAAUAUGUCCCCCACAAUCCUUGAAAAGUUUCAAGUUGUGUCCUUUUCCACAAGUGUUCCCUCUGAGUCAACACAACAAAAAUCAGCUCAUAGUCAAUCUCAAGCCACUGCUGGAAACUCAGAACAGCUCUCAAAUCCUGUUCAAGAUGAAGCAUAUGAGAAUUUGAACCUCAACACUAUGUCAGACAACCAAUCCCCUACUCAACUCCCAUCAAACUUCUCAGAAGAAAACUGCAGCAUGCCACCUAUAACAGAACCAAACACUCAAGCCUCCAACACUCAAAAGGAAUUACCUUCGCAUCCCAUGAUCACAAGAUCAAAGGUAGGAAUCUUUAAACCAAAAGUCUACCAAACAUCUACACAAACUAAAACCUCUUUACCCCAAGACUCAAUUGUGGCAUUGAAGGACCCUAAAUGGAGAAGAGCCAUGGAAGAUGAAUACAAUGCCUUAAUAAAAAACCAAACCUGGACCUUAAUACCACAUGACCAGAAUUACAAACUCAUUGGAAAUAAGUGGGUGUACAAAGUAAAGGAGAAUCCAGAUGGUACCAUAAAUAGAUACAAAGCCAGACUUGUCGUGAAAGGUUUUCUACAGACACCAGGACUUGAUUUUAAUGAGACCUUCAGCCCUGUGGUCAAAGCUGCAACCAUCAGAAUCAUUCUAACUUUGGCUGUGAAUAAUGAUUGGAUGUUGAGGCAAGUUGAUAUAAAUAAUGCAUUUUUGAAUGGAGAGUUGACAGAAACAGUGUACAUGCCACAACCUGAGGGGUUUAAAGACAAAAGAAAGCCAAAUCACAUUUACAAACUCAAGAAGGCUCUUUAUGGUUUGAGACAGGCACCCAGAGCCUGGUUUGACAAAUUAAAGAGUGCUUUGUACUCUUGGGGGUUCAACAAUUCAAAGUGUGAUACCUCAUUAUUUUUUAGAAGGAACAAUGCUGAAAUGGUUAUUGUACUUGUGUAUGUGGAUGACAUAAUUGUCACUGGAAGUGAUAGCAAAGGAAUUGAGGGUGUGAUAGGAAAGCUAAGUGAAGCUUUUGCAUUGAAAGAUCUAGGAAAUCUGAGCUACUUCCUUGGGAUACAGGUCAUAAGAAAUCAGAAUUCUAUUUUGCUUUCUCAAGCUAAAUAUGUCCAAGACUUGUUAACCAAAACCGAGAUGGAGAGCUGCAAAGGAAUAGAGUCUCCAUUCAGCACAUCAGAGAAGCUAAAGAAUGGAGAAGGUGCCAAGCUUGACAACCCUUCACUCUACAGAAGUGUUAUAGGAAGCUUGCAGUAUACUGUUCUAACAAGACCAGAACUUGCUUACUCUGUCAACAAGCUGAGCCAAUACAUGUCUGACCCAAGACAACCUCAUUGGAUAGCCUGCAAACGAGUGUUGAGGUAUCUAAAGAACACUACUAACAUGUGUUUACAAUUCCAAAAGUCAGAACAUCUUGAUUUAGUAGCCUACACAGAUGUUGACUGGGCAAGUGAUCCAGAUGACAGAAGAUCAAUAAGUGGAUAUUGUGUGUUCCUAGGAGAUAAUUUAGUAGCUUGGAGCUCAAGGAAACAAGGAAUGGUAGCAAGAUCUACAGCAGAGUCAGAGUACAGAGCCAUGGCUCUAUGCACCACUGAAAUCACUUGGAUUAACUCUCUGUUUGAUGAGCUGAAGAUUGAAAUGCAAAGAACUCCAAUGAUUCUGAGUGAUAGCACAAGUGCAGCAGCAAUAGCCACAAAUCAUGUGUAUCACUCAAAAACAAAACACUUUGAAAUAGAUCUGCACUUCAUUAGAGAUAAAGUCACUCAAGGAGAGCUGGAAAUAAGCUUUGUGGCUAGCAGAGACCAAAUUGCAGACGUUUUAACCAAACCAUUGCCGUACUACAAGUUCAGUCAAUUUCGAAGCAAACUCAAUGUCUUUGACAAGACCUUAAAUUUGAGAGAGGGUGUUGAGAAUUCAGGUUGUGAAGAACCAACAAUUGAUCCCAAGGCCCUGCUGGCAUGCCACCUGAGCAACCAUUUCCAAAGACCAGCUGAUGAGGAAGGUGAGGUGUAUCCUAUGAGCUGGCAAAACUGUUACGCUGAGGAAUAUCAACAUGUGAACUCUGCAAGCUGGAAAUUUCUAGAACGUUUUCAAUGAUUGGUUGUGCAGCUGUCGUUCUUUGUCUUAUUCAUUUUCAGCAGCUCCUUGAGCAAGCAGUUGUCGUUUUUAGUUCAAGUAUAAAUAUAUGAAACAAUUGUAUUUUUAUUUUCAAGUAAUCAUAAUAAAAAGGAAUGUUUGUUUCUCUGCUGCUUGCAUAUUCAAGCAAUUCAUUAAAAAUUUAAGUAUGAUGUCGACGACGACGAUGAUAUUACGAUCCAGAUCCGAUUCUGAUUUGUUGUUAUCGUUGUUGAUGAUAAAGAUUUGGAUUAUUAUUAUUAUUAUGAUUUUCAAAAUGUAUUAUUAUUACUAUUGAUAAAAAAAUAUUAUAAUUAAUAUAUUAAUGUUAAUGAUAAUAAUAAUAAAAAUAAUUUUAUUAUUUUUAUUAUUAAUAAUUAAUAAUAAUUAAUAAUAAUUAAUAAUAAUAAUAAUAAUUUAUAAAUAAUAAUAAUCACAAUAAUUAAAAUAUAAAAUAAUAGUUAAUUAAGAAUUUUUUAGUAAUUUAUGACAAUCUAAUUCAUUAUGAUUAUGAUUUCAAGACAAAUUAAACACAUCAAUAAUAAUACAACUCAUUUUAAUUUUAAUUUCUACAGUUAAAGUAAACAAUUUAUUCUAAUUCUCAUUUCUCAUUUCUCAUUUUGAUUUCAGCUCAUUUUAAUUUCCGUUUAGUAAAAGCACCGUAUGUUUCUUGCUUUAGAUCCUGUUAUUUUGUCUGUUUGUGCACUGUGGUCACCGAACUUUUAGGGAAAAGAUUUUAAACAAGAAAAAAGUUAAGCAUAUUUCUCAUUACCAUCGAUAGUACAAUCAAUAAGCAUACAUUUCAUAUGUUAUUGUUAUCAUCAUGAGAGCUUACGGAAUGAAAUAUAUAAUACCCAAAAGAAAAAAAAAGGAAAAAAAACAAUGAUAAACUAUAUAGUUAUUUUAAAAGUAACGCACUGCUAAUAUGUACUUAAGAAUAUAUUUGGUAGUGCUUGUAGUUUAUUUCAUGCUCGAACUUUAUGCUGUAAUAUCAAAAUAAAGUUAUAAUAAUAAUAUUGAUGUUGUGUCAGUUAUCAUAUGAAUUAAGAUGCAAAUAUGACUAGAAAGGGAUCACGUUGAUAUGGUCUGUGAGAACAUUAGAAGAGUAAAGCUCAAUCUUUUAAGUCUUUUUGCAUUAAGUAUAUUGAAUUUAUAAUAAUUCAUAUCUGCAUCUUUCCAAUAAAAUUCGUAUUAUAACACUUCUGAUAUAAAGAAUGACAAAUCUGUCUUUUUAUUGAUGACCAAGACUGCAAAGAAUAGCUCUACAGAGAGCAUAUAAUUGAAUGUAAUAAGUUUACACUGAUUUAUCUGUUUGAUUUAAUCACUUCUUUAGCAGAUUUUUUCUUUUCAAAGGAAGGCCUUGAGGAAAUCUCUUUGCGUCGGUGCAGUAGUUGUAAAUCAUGUAUGUCUUUUGUACCCAUUUCAGCCUUUCUUAACUUGUUGAAUCAAGCUCUUGUGAGAACCAGGAGCAGCCGUUGGAUAUAUGGAGAGGAAGGUGAACUUGAAGCACAAGAAGAUAUUCCAUUAGACCAGACACAUGCAUCAGCGUUGAAGUUUCUAUAAGAAGCGGCGAAAGGAGCAUGUGUCCAGUGUGUCUUGAUAAGGCCACCUCUUGUAGCCUAGUCAUCAGCAUUCCGUAGAGAAGAGUACAUCCUCAUUGGUUGAUUCUUUGGAAAUGGCACUCCAAUUGAUUCUGAGUUCUUGAAUUCUCUUAUGGGGGUGCCAUCAACAGCGAAGCUGGAAAUUACAAGGAAAAAGUUAUAAGUCUAAUCAGAUUAACGACAGGGAAAAGAACAUGAUUGGGAUUGAAGGAAAAAAAAAACAGUACUAACACAAUGCGCUGAGGAUACCAGAGGAUGGGAUAGGUUUGAAAACCAGCAGUAAGGUCAAACCAGAGGUGAAAUUGUUGCUCUCUUUCACCUUUGCCAUUUGUGAAUACAUUGGUGUGCAGAGUGUAAGGGUCACCACUUAAAUUGCCCAAGAAUUCAAAGUUUAUCUCCCCAAGUAUUAUCAAAAUCUUGGUAGAAGUUAGCAGAAGAAGCUACAAUUAGAGAGAAAAUCACAAAACUGACCAUCAACAUGGACGGAAUAUAUGAAGAAACUAGAAAGCAAGCCACGGGAAUGUUUUGCAUGUGAAUAGUAUUAGAAAUGUAAAAGAAUCUGAAAUGAUGAAAAGGUUGUGCUUAGUUGGUGUUUUUAUACUAUAAGUUUUGGCAGAGUUGAACGGAGAGAAGAUACACGGGAAACUUCAGUACGUUUUGGUAUAGUUGGCAAAGCAAUGUAACUAAUGAUUGUUCAUUAAAAUGGCGCAGACCAAAUUUUUCAGACGCGGUUUUGCGUGAUUUGUUAAUUGUUUGUAAAGAAAGGGGAGACAAGGCGCGGCCUAGUUCCCUUUUCAAAACAAACAUUCAUUUUACAUACAGUUAGGUCCAAGUGAAUGGCAAGCGAAACCCACCACCGUCUCGCGUGUUAGACAACGCCAGUAACAUAAAAUUUGAGUAAUGUCAUGCGGUUAUUGCCAACCCAAUUCGGAUAUUUAGUUUGUCUCCUCCUUAUUACAUUUUAUGUAUCAUUUAUUAAUUAGGUUGAUAACAAAUAAUUAAUAAUAAAACAAAUAAAUAUUAUAUACAUGACAAUAAAAGAUUAAUUUUGGAGUUACUAAAUUAAGAAUUCAAACAGAAUAAAUAUAACAUAAUUGUCACUUGGGUUAACACUGAAUUGCUAGUGAGGAGAAUUUUCAAUUCUGGAAUUUCUUAAUAAGUUCUAUGUUAUUCUUAGUAUUAUUAUAAUAUUAUUUUUUUGCCUUGACUUGAGAAUCAAUUAAUAAAAAAAGCUGAAAAUCUGAAGAGAGGGUCGCAUCAUGUGAAUUCAACUGUCUUUAGUAGUGGCGGUGGGAAAAUCUAAUAAGAGUCAGCUGGUAGUGGGGACCACGACAGCGGCAAAUAAUAAACUAAACGGAAGUCGUUUGGUCCCAAAAAUAAUGCAAAAACCGCGUGCUGUAAUAAAAUAUGGCUGGUCGGAUAAUGCUUGUUAGUGCGAUAUGUACAGCUAUUUUAUUAUACUUUUUUCAAGCCAACAACUGUCCACAGCCGAGCGCACUGGACCUUUCCCUUCACUUUCCUCUGCAUUUUACAUUCCCCAUCUUCACCGGCUAUAAAUACAACACAAUGGUCUUAAACACAUUCAUCGCUCCACUUUCGAAUUACAAACUUCUCUCAGUUAAUUCAAACACUACUUGUACCUCGUUUGCUCAAGCAUAUGUCAAUGGCUUCAAUGUUGCAUUUGUUUCUUGUGCUUGCCUCUUUGAUGGUUGCCUCUGCUGGUAACUUCUACAAAGAUUUUGACAUCACCUGGGGAGAUGGCCGUGCCAAGAUGCUCAACAAUGGCGACCUUCUUACUCUUUCCCUCGAUAAAGCUUCUGGCUCAGGAUUCCAGUCCAAGAAUGAGUAUCUAUACGGCAAGAUUGACAUGCAGCUCAAGCUUGUCCCAGGCAACUCUGCUGGCACUGUCACUGCUUAUUACGUAAGUUCCUUCUUUUAAUACAACUUAAUCAUACGCAAGUAUUAUGCAUGCAAAAUGGGUCGUAGUU